GACGAACGCUGGCGGCGUGCCUAAUACAUGCAAGUCGAACGCAGUGGGGAUGGGUGAGUAACACGUGGGUAACCUCCCAUCAGAGGGGAUAACACUUGGAAACAGGUGCUAAACUGAUACUGAUGGAUGGACCCGCGGUGGAUUAGCUAGUUGGUGGGGUAACGGCCUACCAAGGCCACGAUGCAUAGCCGACCUGAGAGGGUGACCAGCCACACUGGAACUGAGACACGGCCCAGACUCCUACGGGAGGCAGCAGUGGGGAAUCUUCGGCAAUGGGCGAAAGUCUGACCGAGCAAUGCCGCGUGAGUGAAGAAGGUUUUCGGGUCGUAAAGCUCUGUUGUUAGAGAAGCGGUAUCUAACCAGGAAGCAACGGCUAACUACGUGCCAGCAGCCGCGGUAAUAC
rnacentral:rRNA from 1 species